rnacentral:rRNA from 1 species
UACGUAGGGACCUAGCGUUGUCCGGAAUCAUUGGGCGUAAAGGGUGCGUAGGCGGGCAGGUAAGUCAGUGGUGAAAUCCCCGAGCUUAACUUGGGAACUGCCGUUGAUACUAUCUGUCUUGAAUACUAUGGAGGUAAGCGGAAUAUGUCAUGUAGCGGUGAAAUGCUUAGAUAUGACAUAGAACACCAAUUGCGAAGGCAGCUUGCUACACAGUUAUUGACGCUGAGGCACGAAAGCGUGGGGAUCAAACAGG